GAGGGUAUAGCUUAGUGGUAGAGUGCAUUCUUAGUCCACACGAGGUCCUGGGAUCAAUCCCCAGUACCUCCA
rnacentral:tRNA from 1 species